rnacentral:rRNA from 1 species
UAAGGAAUAUUGGUCAAUGGAGGCAACUCUGAACCAGCCAUGCCGCGUGCAGGAAGACAGCCCUAUGGGUCGUAAACUGCUUUUGUACGGGAACAAACCUCUCCUCGUGAGGAGAGCUGAGCGUACCGUAAGAAUAAGGAUCGGCUAACUCCGUGCCAGCAGCCGCGGUAAUACGGAGGAUCCGAGCGUUAUCCGGAUUUAUUGGGUUUAAAGGGAGCGUAGGCGGCCUGUUAAGUCAGGGGUGAAAGACGGUGUCUCAACCAUCGCAGUGCCUUUGAUACUGACGGGCUUGAAUGUAGUUGAGGUGGGCGGAAUGUGACAAGUAGCGGUGAAAUGCAUAGAUAUGUCACAGAACACCGAUUGCGAAGGCAGCUCACUAAGCUAUGAUUGACGCUGAAGCACGAAAGUGUGGGGAGCAAACA